rnacentral:rRNA from 1 species
AGAGUUUGAUCAUGGCUCAGAAUCAACGCUGGCGGCGCGCUUAACACAUGCAAGUCGAACGAGAAAGGGGAGCAAUCCCUGAGUAAAGUGGCGUACGGGUGAGUAACACGUGGGUAAUCUACCUUUUGGUGGGGGAUAACGCUGGGAAACCGGCGCUAACACCGCAUGAGCUCGCCAUCUAAGAUGGUGAGGAAAAGAGAAAUCUGCCGAAAGAGGAGCCCGCGGCUGAUUAGCUAGUUGGUGGGGUAAAGGCUCACCAAGGCAAUGAUCGGUAGCCGGCCUGAGAGGGCACACGGCCACACUGGCACUGAAACACGGGCCAGACUCCUACGGGAGGCAGCAGUGGGGAAUCUUGCACAAUGGGGGAAACCCUGAUGCAGCGACGCCGCGUGAGUGAUGAAGCCCUUCGGGGUGUAAAGCUCUUUCGGCAGGGACGAUAAUGACGGUACCUGAAGAAGAAGCUGCGGCUAACUACGUGCCAGCAGCCGCGGUAAUACGUAGGCAGCGAGCGUUGUUCGGAGUUACUGGGCAUAAAGAGUGCGUAGGCGGUUUUCUAAGUUUGGUGUGAAAUCUCCCGGCUCAACUGGGAGGGUGCGCCGAAGACUGGAAGGCUAGAGUGUGGGAGAGGUAAGCGGAAUUCCUGGUGUAGCGGUGAAAUGCGUAGAUAUCAGGAGGAACACCUGCGGUGUAGACGGCUUACUGGACCAUAACUGACGCUGAGGCACGAAAGCGUGGGUAGCAAACAGGAUUAGAUACCCCCGUAGUCC